GGGCGCUUUUAUGAAUUGGCUGAUUUGCAUAUCAACCCAGUAUUCAUAUUAAUACUACAAAGAAAAUUAUUUUAUUGACGUUAAUUAAGUUGACAAAUGAUCACAGCAGAUGAGUUUUUUAAAUUUUAAUAGACAUGUUUAGAUAUGAACAGGAGCAGUUGCUGGUUACGUCUAAAAAUGAAUAUAAAUUUGCGUUCAGAAACUUCAUCUCCAAAAAAGCCAUCUAUCCAACGUCAGUGAUUAAAUUGCCAUGCAUGCUUGCUUUUAAAUGUAUCCAUCAGUAUGCACCUCUCUAUCUUGUCAAUCUUUUAAAAGUAAGAAAGACAUCGUGCUAUAGUCUAAGAUCUAACGAAGGCACAUUGCUUGAAGACUACAGUACAAAAACGAAGAAAACACUCCGCGACAGAUCAUUUCUAACCUCCGCUCCAAAAAUCUGGAAUGAAUUACCUAUGUAUAUAAGAAAUCUGCAUAACUUUAGUAUUUUGAAGAAAUUAGUUAAUUAAAACUUAUUAUUUUGAAGAAGCCUUUAAUGGAAAUUC